UGCUUGCAGAUUUCUUCAGGGGUCGGAGGCCAACCACCACAUGGCAAUAGUCUGAAGACUGCAUUUGAAAUAUGCCUUCAGCAUAGUUAACUACCUUGCUAAACUUGUCAUGUUGUGUGUAGAUACUGCCCCCGUGCUUGGCAAACUUGUCAUGAGGCAUCCUUUUGUUGCCUUUCCUACUGUUGACAAGACCAGGGUGACCAUCAGGGAGCAGAAGGAGGUCACCGUCCAGCUAAUUAACUACACCAAGAGCGGGAAGAAGUUCUGGAACUUGUUUUACCUGCAGCCUAUGUGGGUUCAGAAGGUAGCGAAAUGUUAUUGAAAUGCUGAAUUUGUUUUGGAGCUUGCAGACUUUGAAGACAUGAGCUGCGAAAUGAUAUAUGGUCAGGUGCCCCCACCAGUGGAAGAAGAUCCAGUGUCGAAACAACCCUGCUAUCCCAGCCUCUGUUCCAUAUCGACGCCCUCCGCUGCAAUAUGUCCCAAAAUUCAGAACUAGUCUUCUGCAAGCGCUCACAAGGGUUUUGAUACAAAAUUGUGCAUGGUGCCAUGGUAUCGGAUAGGCCAGAAUUUCAACAGGGACAAUAGAUAGUGCAUCGGUAAAUUUCUGAAACUUGGGGAUGCAUCACUGGGACAAUAUA